UGGGGAAUUUUGCGCAAUGGGGGAAACCCUGACGCAGCAACGCCGCGUGAGUGAUGAAGGCCUUCGGGUCGUAAAGCUCUGUCAGAGGGAAAGAAAUGUGGGCAGCUAAUAUCUGUUCCACUUGACGGUACCCUCAGAGGAAGCACCGGCUAACUCCGUGCCAGCAGCCGCGGUAAUACGGAGGGUGCGAGCGUUGUUCGGAAUUAUUGGGCGUAAAGCGCGUGUAGGCGGUUUGCUCAGUCUGAUGUGAAAGCCCUGGGCUCAACCUGGGAAGUGCAUUGGAUACUGGCAGACUUGAGUACGGGAGAGGGUAGUGGAAUUCCCAGUGUAGGAGUGAAAUCCGUAGAUAUUGGGAGGAACACCGGUGGCGAAGGCGGCUGCCUGGACCGAUACUGACGCUGAGACGCGAAAGCGUGGGGAGCAAACAGGAUUAGAUACCCUGGUAGUCCACGCCGUAAACGAUGAGUACUAGGUGUUGCGGGUAUUGACCCCUGCAGUGCCGUAGCUAACGCAUUAAGUACUCCGCCUGGGAAGUACGGUCGCAAGACUA
rnacentral:rRNA from 1 species